rnacentral:rRNA from 1 species
UACGUAGGGAGCAAGCGUUGUCCGGAAUCAUUGGGCGUAAAGCGCGCGUAGGUGGCCAUGUAAGUCCGCUGUGAAAGCCCCGGGCUCAACCUGGGAAUUGCGAUGAAGACUGCAAGGCUUGAAUCUGGCAGAGGGGGGUAGAAUUCCACGUGUAGCAGUGAAAUGCGUAGAGAUGUGGAGGAACACCAGUGGCGAAGGCGGCUUUCUGGUCUGUAACUGACGCUGAGGCGCGAAAGCGUGGGGAGCAAACAGG